UCUUGUAAACUUGAAUUUCUUUUCAAUUACAUAAUGAUUUUCUAUUUUACUUCUGUCGGAUGGUUCAUUUUUGAGACAAGUUUCAUUGUCCAAUCUUCAAGCAAUUUAUGUCUAUCUGUUGGUUUAUAGAAUUUAUGUCCGAUCUUCAAGCAUUUUAUUUUUGAUCAAUUUAUAGAAUUAAUCAAAAAUAAAUAUAUAGACAAACAACUAAUGCUACAUAUUGUUGC
rnacentral:lncRNA from 1 species